CCUACGGGUGGCUGCAGUGGGGAAUAUUGGACAAUGGGGGCAACCCUGAUCCAGCCAUGCCGCGUGUGUGAAGAAGGCCCUCGGGUUGUAAAGCACUUUCAGUGAGGAAGAACGCCUGGUGGUUAAUACCCAUCAGGAAAGACAUCACUCACAGAAGAAGCACUGGCUAACUCCGUGCCAGCAGCCGCGGUAAUACGGAGGGUGCGAGCGUUAAUCGGAAUUACUGGGCGUAAAGCGCGCGUAGGUGGCUUGAUAAGCCGGUUGUGAAAGCCCCGGGCUCAACCUGGGAACGGCAUCCGGAACUGUCAAGCUAGAGUGCAGGAGAGGAAGGUAGAAUUCCCGGUGUAGCGGUGAAAUGCGUAGAGAUCGGGAGGAAUACCAGUGGCGAAGGCGGCCUUCUGGACUGACACUGACACUGAGGUGCGAAAGCGUGGGUAGCAAACAGGAUUAGAUCCCCUGUAGUC
rnacentral:rRNA from 1 species